UAGGGACUCCUAUUCCUGCAUCUAUAAAACUCAGAAUGACCUUCCAGGAGUGUUGAAAAAGAAAAAUGGUGCUUAUAGCUUAAUAUGAGUUCCUGAAGGGGAACGAGGAUUAUGAGUUCAGCUAUAUACCACCUUUCUUCCAGAGCUUACCUAUUCUGUG